AGAACGAACGCUGGCGGCAUGCCUAACACAUGCAAGUCGAACGCUCACCGGGCUUCGGUUCGGUGGGAGUGGCGCACGGGUGAGUAGCGCGUGGGAACCUGCCCUGUUGUGGGGGAUAACCGAGGGAAACUUCGGCUAAUACCGCAUGCGCCCGGGGAAACCCGGGGAAAGAUUUAUCGCAGCAGGAGGGGCCCGCGUCGGAUUAGGUAGUUGGUAGGGUAACGGCCUACCAAGCCUUUGAUCCGUAGCUGGUCUGAGAGGAUGAUCAGCCACACUGGGACUGAGACACGGCCCAGACUCCUACGGGAGGCAGCAGUGGGGAAUAUUGGACAAUGGGCGCAAGCCUGAUCCAGCAAUGCCGCGUGAGUGAUGAAGGCCUUAGGGUUGUAAAGCUCUUUCGCCCGCGACGAUGAUGACGGUAGCGGGAGAAGAAGCCCGGCUAACUUCGUGCCAGCAGCCGC
rnacentral:rRNA from 1 species